UGAGACAGCUUUAGUUUUAGACUUGUUAUCAGUACAGAGCCGCCAGAUGAGGACUGCCAUAUAUCAGAACCGGCUAGCCUUGGACUACCUGCUGGCCGAAGAAGGAGGGACUUCUCUUGAAGGGUUAACAGAUGAGAAAAUUAUGAUGAUGAAAGAAAACCAAGACGGAAAAGGAACAGAGAGCGCAAAAGAGAUGUAUGAGAAAUACCAGAAGUUAAGAGAAUUUUACCAAAAGUAUGAAAGUCCAGUUUGAUAAGUUAAGGCUGAUGCGGGUCAAGCCCGAUCAAAGAAUUAGAGGGGGGAUUGUUAUGAACAAAAAUAAAAUUUAAACCUUUGGGGAACGUAGUUAACAAUGGUUAAAUGUUGUUACAAAGUUAAAUGUUGUUAAUACAAGUUAAAUGUUGUUAAUACCAGUAACAAAGUGUGAUUAGUUCUAUGAAAACCCAGUAGUGUGGUUCAUGUAUAAAGGGGGAGUGGAAGCGGGGAGGAGAUGGGGUGCCAAUCUUUGUGCAGGGGCAGAGAAACUUCCAGGAGUAUUCCAUCAUAGAACACAACCACAACUUAAAUCAAGAUUGGAAGAGAGACCAACCAAUGGGAGGUGAGAAUUCCAAAAUGAUUGGCCAAGACUGCACCAACUUAUAAGUCAAUCAGCAACGGAGAAAUAGACCUGUCACAGCACAGAUCUUGAGCGCCCCAAUCAGGAGACAAGAGAGAGACUUGAAAAGGCCUGGGGUGUCUAACUCCCGCGUCUUUCCUGGGAGCCGCUUUCCCUGAAAACACCCCUAGGUUACAAUUACUAAGCUGUUGAAACAGUAUCUGGACUUGCCUGAGGCUUUUGCUGCCAGUUGUUCAUUUUGUAAUAAAGAAGCUUACUUUUUUAAUCAA